rnacentral:rRNA from 1 species
CCUACGGGUGGCAGCAGUGGGGGAUAUUGCACAAUGGGGGGAACCCUGAUGCAGCGACGCCGCGUGGGUGAAGGAGUAUUUCGGUAUGUAAAGCCCUAUCGGCAGGGAAGAAUUUAGACGGUACCUGACUAAGAAGCCCCGGCUAACUACGUGCCAGCAGCCGCGGUAAUACGUAGGGGGCAAGCGUUGUCCGGAUUCACUGGGUGUAAAGGGAGCGUAGACGGCCAGGCAAGCCUGGAGUGAAAGCCCGGGGCCCAACCCCGGGACUGCUCUGGGAACUGUCCGGCUGGAGUGCGGGAGGGGCAGGCGGAAUUCCUGGUGUAGCGGUGAAAUGCGUAGAUAUUAGGAGGAACACCAGUGGCGAAGGCGGCUUACUGGACUGUAACUGACGUUGAGGCUCGAAAGCGUGGGGAGCAAACAGGAUUAGAUACCCCUGUAGUC